rnacentral:rRNA from 1 species
CUACAAGUCGAGCAGGGACGAAAGUCGGGCUUAGUGAUCCGGUGGUUCCGCAUGGAAGGGCCAUCGCUCAACGGAUAAAAGCUACCCCGGGGAUAACAGGCUUAUCUCCCCCAAGAGUCCACAUCGACGGGGAGGUUUGGCACCUCGAUGUCGGCUCAUCGCAUCCUGGGGCUGUAGUCGGUCCCAAGGGUUGGGCUGUUCGCCCAUUAAAGCGGUACGCGAGCUGGGUUCAGAACGUCGUGAGACAGUUCGGUCCCUAUCCGUCGUGGGCGUAGGAAAUUUGAGAGGAGCUGUCCUUAGUACGAGAGGACCGGGAUGGACGCACCGCUGGUGUACCAGUUGUUCUGCCAAGGGCAUAGCUGGGUAGCUAUGUGCGGAAGGGAUAAGUGCUGAAAGCAUCUAAGCAUGAAG